AGUGGUGAGACGCAGUGCUCUGAACAACACCAACAAGCCUCAUGCCCUCAAAGAAAUGGUUUCUCAUUUCUCCUGCCCAGAGCAAGGGGAAGCCGGGAGGGGUUUCGGCUCUUUCUGGGAGGCACCAUUUAAUGCGACCUGUCAAUCCAGAGAUGGGCUGCGAUUUUGUGAGCCGUACAGGAAAUUUCUGACUUAAGUCACUUCCAGGAGACGGGGCUGUGUGAUGAACACGGAACAAACGUCAACCCUUGUUACUGCUGACACCCACAAGCCCCCACCUCCCCUCGGUCCGGCUCCUGCCUAGUUUGCUUCCUUCUUUCUUUCCCCCCAAGUUCCCAUAGUUCCUUCUUUGAGUGGCACCGAGAACAGUUUCAGCCGCAUCCCUCCUUGAAAAUCAGUUAUUUUGAAACACGAGGAGCCAUAAGGAGAUCAACACCACCUUACCUGCUCUGUUUUGGUUGGCUCUGGGCCAGCGGUGAGGCAACAGAACCUUCUAGAAUGUGAUUUCUAUGAGAAGAAAGGCAUCACAAUGACUAUUGGUUCAAUGUUGCAUAUGGAGCAUUGUUGACGGAGCAGUCGAUCCAGAGGCAAGGUGGCCUAGAGGUCCGACUCUAGAAUGGGGUCAUCAGAAACGCAGGCUAUGCCUGGUAUCUCUUUGCAACGCCAUUCUUAAAGGACGCAGCCAUCCUUCUCUUCUGCCUACAUUCCUAGGUGACAGCUGGAGUUUCAACCGUUGGGUUUGUACUUUCUGCAGAAAAUACCAGGAAUUUUGAGACAGAAGAGCCGGCGCAUGCGUGCCUUGCGUUUUGCGGCCCAGUCUGGAUCUCUCAAAAGACACCUCCUUCCCGCUUUCAAAAUUACACCUUAUUGGCCACCCUUAGCAUAUGGGAGUUUGCAAGUCAAGUCUUUUGGCUGGGCAUCUUGCCACGUGGAUUAAAUUCGGGCUUCUAUUACUACGAAAGAAUAGGAUAAUGGAUAUUGGAUAAGCUACUUGAAGUAUUAACCGAAAUAAGCCAAUCAAGUCCUCAGUCCCAGUGGCAGGACUUCCAAUAUAAAUUCAUUAAAAUAACAUCCUCAUU